rnacentral:lncRNA from 1 species
UCUUAAUGACAUGAAGGAAGACAUACUAGCAAACACAAUGCUCCUGACUGCCUGCAACAUGAGGGUUUGCGCUUGAUGAGGCAGAAUCCAGGUCCUUUCUGGCCUAAAUGUCAUACCACCAUGUGGGCGAGCCAGUUUAUCGCUUAGUCCUACUCUCACUUCAGGCAGUGAAGUGCUCAGAGGGAAAAUUGGUAAUUUGGAUAGAAUUGACUGCUUUUCUAUUCUUCAACAGUUGUCUAUCUAUCUGAUGAAGAUUGGUUUUGAAAUGUAUCCCAUCUCUGACUGGAGGGAACGUGGCCAGGACAAGAGGCUUCCAGGGUUAAUAGCAGAUAAAUGUCUAUCUGAGAAGGGAGUUGUGCACUUGAACUCCACUUGCAGAGAACGACUGGUGAAAUGUGUGCUAGAAGCAACCGGAUCCAUAACUCUGAUUAAAGAGGUCAGUGUCUUAUUCCUUAGCUUAGCAUGUAAGUCACUUCUAGGGCAGUUGUGUCAAACCAAAGGAGUACAGUUUCUACCUGGUCCACUUUUUAUUGCUACCCUUUUCAGUUGUUGGGAUUAUUGAACAUUUGCUUUUUGUCCUUACUGGAUAAAACAGAUUUCUUCUUUCCUUCUUCAGUUCUAC